rnacentral:rRNA from 1 species
UACGAAGGGGGCUAGCGUUGCUCGGAAUCACUGGGCGUAAAGCGCACGUAGGCGGAUUGUUAAGUCAGGGGUGAAAUCCUGGAGCUCAACUCCAGAACUGCCUUUGAUACUGGCGAUCUUGAGUCCGGGAGAGGUGAGUGGAACUGCGAGUAUAGAGGUGAAAUUCGUAGAUAUUAGGAAGAACACCAGUGGCGAAGGCGGCUCACUGGCCCGGUACUGACGCUGAGGCGCGAAAGCGUGGGGAGCAAACAGG